rnacentral:lncRNA from 1 species
CUCUUCUAUUUUUUUUUUUUUUGUGCCAAACACCCCCUUUAGGGUGUUUUUGUUUUUUUUGUUUUCUUUUUCAGAGUUUUUUGUUUUAAAGGUUUUUUGCCCAUUUUAAGGUCUGUUUUUUUUUUUGUUUUUUUUUCUCGCCUGGCACCUUUGUCUGGAUGAGCUACUCUUAGUCUGGUCCCUCCCCCACGACCUGUUUGCCUUGGGUGACCCUUCAGAGGCAUAAAGCCCCUGACAACAUAGCUCCUGGGAUCAUUGGGACACACAAACCCCUCCACCACGGUAAGGUGGUAGCUCGAGGAGGGGAAAAAAACCCUCCCAUGGGGGAGGGAAAAACCAUAAGGGUUUUUUUUUUUUGUUUUAAAGGUUCAAUCAUUUACUUGUUGAAGAACAAGUUUUUCCAAGAUUUUACUUAAAAAAUGGUAAGUUGGAUGGUUCCACAACCGGGGACCAUAAAAACUGAACGCCGCCUCCCCGUGGGUUUUUGUUUCUGACUUUGGGUAAGGUUAAAAGGCCUGUGCCGGAGGACCUCAGGGUCUGCGAGGGUUGAUUUGGUAAAAGUACAUCAGAUAAAAAAGAAGGGCCAAGUCCAUUAAUACAUCUAAAAACUAAUAAAAGAACCUUACAAUCAACCCUGAAACGGACCUGAAACGGAGUGGCGAUCAGUGAGAUAAGAGGUGAACCAGUUAAAAACAGUGCCUGAGAGGCCGACCAGGUGCUGAAGUCUAUUUAAUAAAAUGUCAUGGUCUGCUGCAUCAAAGGCGGCGGCGGUUAGAUCCAGCAGGACCAAGACUGUGAGGUUGCCAUUAUCAAAACUGCACCUGAUGUCAUUCAAAAUUUUUAAAAGGGCUGUCUCAGUACUGGGGUUCCCCCUAAAUCCUGAUUUGCACUCUAAAAUGCUGUUUGUAUUUAAACGAUCGUAUUUAAAUACAAAGAUUGCUCUUCUAUUUUUUUUUUUUGUGCCAAACACCCCCUUUAGGGUGUUUUUGUUUUUUUUUUGUUUUCUUUUUCAGAGUUUUUUGUUUUAAAGGUUUUUUGCCAAUUUUAAGGUCUGUUUUUUUUUGUUUUUUUUUUUCUCGCCUGGCACCUUUGUCUGGAUGAGCUACUCUUAGUCUGGUCCCUCCCCCACGACCUGUUUGCCUUGGGUGACCCUUCAGAGGCAUAAAGCCCCUGACAACAUAGCUCCUGGGAUCAUUGGGACACACAAACCCCUCCACCACGGUAAGGUGGUAGCUCGAGGAGGGGAAAAAAACCCUCCCAUGGGGGAGGGAAAAACCAUAAGGGUUUUUUUUGUUUGUUUUAAAGGUUCAAUCAUUUACUUGUUGAAGAACAAGUUUUUCCAAGAUUUUACUUAAAAAAUGGUAAGUUGGAUGGUUCCACAACCGGGGACCAUAAAAACUGAACGCCGCCUCCCCGUGGGUUUUUGUUUCUGACUUUGGGUAAGGUUAAAAGGCCUGUGCCGGAGGACCUCAGGGUCUGCGAGGGUUGAUUUGGUAAAAGUACAUCAGAUAAAAAAGAAGGGCCAAGUCCAUUAAUACAUCUAAAAACAAAUAAAAGAACCUUACAAUCAACCCUGAAACGGACCUGAAACGGAGUGGCGAUCAGUGAGAUAAGAGGUGAACCAGUUAAAAACAGUGCCUGAGAGGCCGACCAGGUGCUGAAGUCUAUUUAAUAAAAUGUCAUGGUCUGCUGCAUCAAAGGCGGCGGCGGUUAGAUCCAGCAGGACCAAGACUGUGAGGUUGCCAUUAUCAAAACUGCACCUGAUGUCAUUCAAAAUUUUUAAAAGGGCUGUCUCAGUACUGGGGUUCCCCCUAAAUCCUGAUUUGCACUCUAAAAUGCUGUUUGUAUUUAAACGAUCGUAUUUAAAUACAAAGAUUGCUCUUCUAUUUUUUUUUUUUUGUGCCAAACACCCCCUUUAGGGUGUUUUUGUUUUUUUUGUUUUCUUUUUCAGAGUUUUUUGUUUUAAAGGUUUUUUGCCCAUUUUAAGGUCUGUUUUUUUUUUUUUUUUUUCUCGCCUGGCACCUUUGUCUGGAUGAGCUACUCUUAGUCUGGUCCCUCCCCCACGACCUGUUUGCCUUGGGUGACCCUUCAGAGGCAUAAAGCCCCUGACAACAUAGCUCCUGGGAUCAUUGGGACACACAAACCCCUCCACCACGGUAAGGUGGUAGCUCGAGGAGGGGAAAAAAACCCUCCCAUGGGGGAGGGAAAAACCAUAAGGGUUUUUUUUUUUUUGUUUUAAAGGUUCAAUCAUUUACUUGUUGAAGAACAAGUUUUUCCAAGAUUUUACUUAAAAAAUGGUAAGUUGGAUGGUUCCACAACCGGGGACCAUAAAAACUGAACGCCGCCUCCCCGUGGGUUUUUGUUUCUGACUUUGGGUAAGGUUAAAAGGCCUGUGCCGGAGGACCUCAGGGUCUGCGAGGGUUGAUUUGGUAAAAGUACAUCAGAUAAAAAAGAAGGGCCAAGUCCAUUAAUACAUCUAAAAACUAAUAAAAGAACCUUACAAUCAACCCUGAAACGGACCUGAAACGGAGUGGCGAUCAGUGAGAUAAGAGGUGAACCAGUUAAAAACAGUGCCUGAGAGGCCGACCAGGUGCUGAAGUCUAUUUAAUAAAAUGUCAUGGUCUGCUGCAUCAAAGGCGGCGGCGGUUAGAUCCAGCAGGACCAAGACUGUGAGGUUGCCAUUAUCAAAACUGCACCUGAUGUCAUUCAAAAUUUUUAAAAGGGCUGUCUCAGUACUGGGGUUCCCCCUAAAUCCUGAUUUGCACUCUAAAAUGCUGUUUGUAUUUAAACGAUCGUAUUUAAAUACAAAGAUUGCUCUUCUAUUUUUUUUUUUUUUUUGUGCCAAACACCCCCUUUAGGGUGUUUUUGUUUUUUUUUGUUUUCUUUUUCAGAGUUUUUUGUUUUAAAGGUUUUUUGCCAAUUUUAAGGUCUGUUUUUUUUUUUUUUUUUUUUUUUCUCGCCUGGGACCUUUGUCUGGAUGAGCUACUCUUAGUCUGGUCCCUCCCCACGACCUGUUUGCCUUGGGUGACCCUUCAGAGGCAUAAAGCCCCUGACAACAUAGCUCCUGGGAUCAUUGGGACACACAAACCCCUCCACCACGGUAAGGUGGUAGCUCGAGGAGGGGAAAAAAACCCUCCCAUGGGGGAGGGAAAAACCAUAAGGGUUUUUUUUUUGUUUUAAAGGUUCAAUCAUUUACUUGUUGAAGAACAAGUUUUUCCAAGAUUUUACUUAAAAAAUGGUAAGUUGGAUGGUUCCACAACCGGGGACCAUAAAAACUGAACGCCGCCUCCCCGUGGGUUUUUGUUUCUGACUUUGGGUAAGGUUAAAAGGCCUGUGCCGGAGGACCUCAGGGUCUGCGAGGGUUGAUUUGGUAAAAGUACAUCAGAUAAAAAAGAAGGGCCAAGUCCAUUAAUACAUCUAAAAACAAAUAAAAGAACCUUACAAUCAACCCUGAAACGGACCUGAAACGGAGUGGCGAUCAGUGAGAUAAGAGGUGAACCAGUUAAAAACAGUGCCUGAGAGGCCGACCAGGUGCUGAAGUCUAUUUAAUAAAAUGUCAUGGUCUGCUGCAUCAAAGGCGGCGGCGGUUAGAUCCAGCAGGACCAAGACUGUGAGGUUGCCAUUAUCAAAACUGCACCUGAUGUCAUUCAAAAUUUUUAAAAGGGCUGUCUCAGUACUGGGGUUCCCCCUAAAUCCUGAUUUGCACUCUAAAAUGCUGUUUGUAUUUAAACGAUCGUAUUUAAAUACAAAGAUUGCUCUUCUAUUUUUUUUUUUUGUGCCAAACACCCCCUUUAGGGUGUUUUUGUUUUUUUUGUUUUCUUUUUCAGAGUUUUUUGUUUUAAAGGUUUUUUGCCCAUUUUAAGGUCUGUUUUUUUUUUUGUUUUUUUUUUCUCGCCUGGCACCUUUGUCUGGAUGAGCUACUCUUAGUCUGUGUAACAGUCUGCUCUGCCCCUCUCCUGCUCUGCUGCUCAGCCACACCCCUCAUCAGCUAACUGCUUCCACCUGCUGCUCUCACCUGCUCAUCAUCUCCAAUCAGGCCAGUAUAUAUGCAGCUUCUUUCCCCUCACUCUUUGCCAGAUUGUCUUCGUCUCUCAUGCCUGACUCUCCCGCGCUUAUCCUCGGACUGCUUACCUGGUAUCGACCUGAUCUGCCCCUGACCUUUGCUUCUCGCCUCAGCCCCGGUAAACCUACCUGCCUUCUGUCCUUGACUACGAGCUUUGCCUGCCUGGUUCCUGCUAUUCAUCUGCCUGCAGCUGAAUGUCACUCAGCCUGUUCCUGCUCUGUUGAGAUCCCCCUUCUCGUCAGCUUCACCUCGCCAACUCACCUCCUCUGCCGACGUUGGUUCUGCCAGCUCCUCUGCAAGCUCUGGAUCCUCACCCAGUCCUCACCUAAACCACUCUCCAAGAAAUCUUCCCCCAGCUGUGAGUUGAGCGUUUUCCCCUUCACUACACUCGUAGAGCAAAUUAAGACUGUGGACAACUCCCUGCUCACGAGUUCAAAACUCUUGCCUGACCUGUGGUCCACUGCUAAUCUGCUCGCCUAUCACCCGGAAGACCCGAGUUCGAAUCCUGCCAUACCCACCUGCUAUACUCUGCUGCCUCAUUGGAUUUGGUGUUCAAUAAAGACUGUUGUUAAAGUGAACCUGCUUGUUUGUGCUGCAAUUGGGUCCAGUCAAUACCCGUUACAGUCUGGUCCCUCCCCCACGACCUGUUUGCCUUGGGUGACCCUUCAGAGGCAUAAAGCCCCUGACAACAUAGCUCCUGGGAUCAUUGGGACACACAAACCCCUCCACCACGGUAAGGUGGUAGCUCGAGGAGGGGAAAAAAACCCUCCCAUGGGGGAGGGAAAAACCAUAAGGGUUUUUUUUUUUGUUUUAAAGGUUCAAUCAUUUACUUGUUGAAGAACAAGUUUUUCCAAGAUUUUACUUAAAAAAUGGUAAGUUGGAUGGUUCCACAACCGGGGACCAUAAAAACUGAACGCCGCCUCCCCGUGGGUUUUUGUUUCUGACUUUGGGUAAGGUUAAAAGGCCUGUGCCGGAGGACCUCAGGGUCUGCGAGGGUUGAUUUGGUAAAAGUACAUCAGAUAAAAAAGAAGGGCCAAGUCCAUUAAUACAUCUAAAAACUAAUAAAAGAACCUUACAAUCAACCCUGAAACGGACCUGAAACGGAGUGGCGAUCAGUGAGAUAAGAGGUGAACCAGUUAAAAACAGUGCCUGAGAGGCCGACCAGGUGCUGAAGUCUAUUUAAUAAAAUGUCAUGGUCUGCUGCAUCAAAGGCGGCGGCGGUUAGAUCCAGCAGGACCAAGACUGUGAGGUUGCCAUUAUCAAAACUGCACCUGAUGUCAUUCAAAAUUUUUAAAAGGGCUGUCUCAGUACUGGGGUUCCCCCUAAAUCCUGAUUUGCACUCUAAAAUGCUGUUUGUAUUUAAACGAUCGUAUUUAAAUACAAAGAUUGCUCUUCUAUUUUUUUUUUUUUGUGCCAAACACCCCCUUUAGGGUGUUUUUGUUUUUUUUGUUUUCUUUUUCAGAGUUUUUUGUUUUAAAGGUUUUUUGCCCAUUUUAAGGUCUGUUUUUUUUUGUUUUUUUUUUCUCGCCUGGCACCUUUGUCUGGAUGAGCUACUCUUAGUCUGUGUAACAGUCUGCUCUGCCCCUCUCCUGCUCUGCUGCUCAGCCACACCCCUCAUCAGCUAACUGCUUCCACCUGCUGCUCUCACCUGCUCAUCAUCUCCAAUCAGGCCAGUAUAUAUGCAGCUUCUUUCCCCUCACUCUUUGCCAGAUUGUCUUCGCUCUCAUGCCUGACUCUCCAGCGCUUAUCCUCGGACUGCUUACCUGGUAUCGACCUGAUCUGCCCCUGACCUUUGCUUCUCGCCUCAGCCCCGGUAAACCUACCUGCCUUCUGUCCUUGACUACGAGCUUUGCCUGCCUGGUUCCUGCUAUUCGUCUGCCUGCAGCUGAAUGUCACUCAGCCUGUUCCUGCUCUGUUGAGAUCCCCCUUCUCGUCAGCUUCACCUCGCCAACUCACCUCCUCUGCCGACGAUGGUUCUGCCAGCUCCUCUGCAAGCUCUGGAUCCUCACCCAGUCCUCACCUGAACCACUCUCCAAGAAAUCUUCCCCCAGCUGUGAGUUGAGCGUUUUCCCCUUCACUACACUCGUAGAGCAAAUUAAGACUGUGGACAAUUCCCUGCUCACGAGUUCAAAACUCUUGCCUGACCUGUGGUCCACUGCUAAUCUGCUCGCCUAUCACCCGGAAGACCCGAGUUCGAAUCCUGCCAUACCCACCUGCUAUACUCUGCUGCCUCAUUGGAUUUGGUGUUCAAUAAAGACUGUUGUUAAAGUGAACCUGCUUGUUUGUGCUGCAAUUGGGUCCAGUCAAUACCCGUUACAGUCUGGUCCCUCCCCCACGACCUGUUUGCCUUGGGUGACCCUUCAGAGGCAUAAAGCCCCUGACAACAUAGCUCCUGGGAUCAUUGGGACACACAAACCCCUCCACCACGGUAAGGUGGUAGCUCGAGGAGGGGAAAAAAACCCUCCC